UACAGAGGGUGCGAGCGUUAAUCGGAAUUACUGGGCGUAAAGCGCGCGUAGGCGGCUUUGCAAGCCGGAUGUGAAAUCCCCGGGCUUAACCUGGGAACUGCAUUCGGGACUGCAUUGCUAGAGUAUGGGAGAGGGAAGUGGAAUUUCAGGUGUAGCGGUGAAAUGCGUAGAUAUCUGAAGGAACAUCAGUGGCGAAAGCGACUUCCUGGACCAAUACUGACGCUGAUGAGCGAAAGCUAGGGGAGCAAACGGG
rnacentral:rRNA from 1 species